UCGAACUGCACUUGGGAAGGAAUUUUGAUACACAGGAUUGUGUGCUUACGAUCUCUCCAUUGUUGCCUGUUACUAAUGCCGAGUUGAGAAAGAUGAAGGAGAGUACCCACCACGGAAGCUGAAGAUGCUUCCACCAGUGGCAGCGUGCGCGCGGUGAAUGAUUCAGACUCGACAUUAGAUGGUGCGUCCGCAAUCCUUCCGUCUGUGACACUGGGAAUUACGAAUACGGAGCCAGUUUUUGAUGAUCGGCGUCCCCUGCUUCCCUUGUCUUCUGUUGCUGCUACUCGUUUAGCGAAGGAGGGAGAGGGUGACAGGAAGGAUUGGUGUGGUGGGGAGGGUGACGAUCACGAUAGGCAGAAUCGAGAACUUCAAGCUGGGCUGCAUCCUCUGCAGUUAUCUGGAAAUAUAGGAAGCCAUCACACUGAAUGGGGACAUCGUGUAGCACUGAAAAUUUGGAGAUUGUGGAGGCCACAAGUCAGCAACAGGUUGCCAGAAUAGCUACUUUCUCACACAGUGCAAUACACUUAUGGUUUUGAUGCGGUUGAAAUAUGACUAGGAUGGAUCCUAGCGGUAGUGUUAAAAACUGUAGUAGAAUAGGGUCUCUAGAAUCUUAAAAGGAAAGUGCUAAUGUCUCGUGACUUACUUCAUUUUACACUUACAUAAUUUCAAGACAUUAGAAAUCUGGCACCGUUUAUGUAUGUGUAAGUGAUCUUGCUUCAAUUUUUGAGCUUUAAUGAAGUAUAGUCAGACAAUAAUAAAGCCUUGAUAGCAAGCCAUUAAAAGCAAUUGGUACAAUAGGAUAAGCCUUUUGCGCUGCUCUUCAAGAAGAGCUGGUAUACUUUUACAGAUUGAUGGCAGUUAUUGAGGAUCAAAUUCAUCAUCCUAUUUCCGUCAUGGUGAAACAUGACUCCUUGAACUCUAUUAAUAACCAUUAGUCUUUGAAAAGA